GCUCAGGUGCGGAAAUUGGUAGACCGGUACGCUUGAGGGGCGUAUGUCUUUACAGACGUGAGGGUUCGAGUCCCUCUCUGGGCACAA
rnacentral:tRNA from 1 species